UACGAAGGGGGCUAGCGUUGCUCGGAAUUACUGGGCGUAAAGCGCACGUAGGCGGCUUGUUAAGUCAGGGGUGAAAUCCCGGGGCUCAACCCCGGAACUGCCUUUGAUACUGGGUAUCUCGAGUCCGGAAGAGGUGAGUGGAAUUCCGAGUGUAGAGGUGAAAUUCGUAGAUAUUCGCAAGAACACCAGUGGCGAAGGCGGCUCACUGGCCCGGUACUGACGCUGAGGUGCGAAAGCGUGGGGAGCAAACAGG
rnacentral:rRNA from 1 species